rnacentral:rRNA from 1 species
GGGGAAUAUUGCGCAAUGGGGGGAACCCUGACGCAGCAACGCCGCGUGAGCGACGAAGGCCUUCGGGUCGUAAAGCUCUGUCUGGAGGGAUGAAAGAAAUGACAGUACCUCCGGAGGAAGCCCCGGCUAACUACGUGCCAGCAGCCGCGGUAAUACGUAGGGGGCAAGCGUUGUCCGGAAUUACUGGGCGUAAAGGGCGCGUAGGCGGUUUUUUAAGUCAGAUGUGAAAGUCCAGGGCUCAACCGUGGAAUAGCAUUUGAAACUGAAGGACUUGAGUGCAGGAGAGGAGAGCGGAAUUCCUAGUGUAGCGGUGAAAUGCGUAGAUAUUAGGAAGAACACCAGUGGCGAAGGCGGCUCUCUGGACUGUAACUGACGCUGAGGCGCGAAAGCGUGGGUAGCGAAC